CCUGUCCGACGGCCAUGUGUUUACCUCGCCGGGGCACGGCAGCGGGGCGCCCUCCUUUCUCGCAUUCCUGGCGCGGCGGCUGCUCGGCGGAUUGCAAAGAGGCAGGUGGAGGAGCUCACCAAGUAGCCCGCCGAAGUCAAAGGGCGUUCGAGGAUAGGGACAAGCCGGCGGCGCAGCCAGUGACUGGAGCGGCGGCGCGGGCUUUGCCUCCGGGGAGAGGCCGAGGGGCGAUGCAUCUUUGGCCUUGAGACAAGAACCGAGACCAAAUUAGGUGCAUCAAAAACUUCAGGUAACAAUGGUGAGAAUAACUCUGAAAUUGACUUGCCGAGUUCCUGCUCAGUGUAACAGGGAUAUGAUUCUGAAAAAUAUAUGCCUGAAUUUACCUUCUUGGUGAGAGAAUCGCGUGGAACAAUGUCAAGUUCGAUGACCUUUCUUCCUGACAGAAGCUGCAGCACAACCACGCCAAAGCUGUAGAUAUCACUUGCACGCAAGUAAGCUUGGAGUGUGUUAUGUACUCAGUAUCCAUGUAACCAAUGGUUCCCCCCACAUAUGUGAAGACCUUGGUCUCCUCCAUUUGCAGCGUUUUUGCUAGCCCAAAAUCAGACAGCUUAGGCUCCAUGUCCUCUGUCAGCAAGAUGUUGGUAAGCUGUAAAAAUGAAUUCAGCACACAAAAGAUAAGAUGGCUUCGCAAAUUUUGCGUGCGCAUGCUAAUGUCGAGGGAUCGAAAAUAUAAAGAUAUUGUCACCAUAAUGUCUCUAUGUACAAUGCAUCCAUCGGAGUGUGUGUGAAGAAACCUCAGGACAGAUGCACAGUCCCUGAGGAUCUUCACCCUUGUUGGCCAUGAGAGCACAGAGUCACUUCCUGCCAAUCAAUAGCAUGCAAAACUUACAGUAAUUCAACCUUGUAGCUCGCGAGCUUGAAUUAACAUGAUGGAUGGAUCCUUCUUACUGAGUAGAUCGAUUUUCGGCGGCUUCGCUCAAGGCCGACGAUUGGGCGCGUGUGGUGGCAGUUCGAGGAGCGGCGACAUCUUCUGGUGGAUUGUUGUGUGUGCUCUGGUCUGAAAGUUUGUGCUUGGAAGGAGUGGCAACAUCUUCAGGUGGAAGGAGUGGCAGUUCAAGGACAUCUUCAGCAGUGGUCUGAAUUGAUUCAGGAAUUCUGCACGCCAUCCAAAUUGAUUUACUAAAUAUUGGAUGUUCAGCACUCUCCUGAGGUGAAUAAUGUAUUAAAAGAGAUGUCAUCAUCAGAGGAUGAGCAAGUUGAACACGGCACUGUAGAACAUGAAUUGUUUUCCAUGCCAUCUGAUGCCAUGGAGCAUGGAACAAAAUUGUUUUCCAUGCCAUCUGAUGCCAUGGAGCAUGGAACAAAUAGCAUCAGCAGCACAUAGCAGCAGAUCAAUCUACAUGCAACUGUACCUUCUUCAGAGUGCAAAUAGCAGCAGCAGCAACACGGCGCAGUCACUUGGACCAGCAGCAGCAGCAACACGGCAUGUUCACUUGGAUCAGCAGCAGCAGCAUCAACACGGGCAGAGGAGCAGCAGCAGCACGGGCUAGCUCCACCGGCGGCAGGGGAGAAGCAGAGGAGAAACAGAGCAGCAGCAGGCACGCGGCCAGAUGAGAAGGAGCAGCACGGCAGCCGGUGGGAGCUCGACGAGGACUUGCGGGAGAUAGAGGAGGACGCGCGGAAGCUCUUGUCCACCGGAUCGUGGAGGCCGGUUCCGGCGAUGCCCAUAGGAGAUCACGGCGGGAGGGAUCGCGGCGGCACACGGGAGGCAGCUCAAGGUGAGAGGAUGACUCGCGGUAGCUCGAGGAAGAUGAGAGGGAGCUCCUGCUCCGCCGGAUCGUGGUGGGAAAUUCCGGCGACGUCCGCAGGUAAUCCAGCGAGUGGGGAUCGCUGCGGCACAGGUUCGGGCGGCGGUGGCGGAGCAGGUACUUGGCGACGGCGGCGGCGGCGAAGGUACGUGGUGACGGAGGCGGAGCACUUCCUGAUGGGCGCCAAAUCACGCCGCUUGGCGGCGCCGGCCCCUAGCGACGCACGGGCGACGGCGGAGGAAGAAGACGGGGGUGGAGGGACUUGUUUGCGACGGUUUGGAUACUACGAGUUUUUUUUGCAAAAUCACCAAUGAACUACGGGCACGACAUGUUUUUCGGGACGGAGGGAGUACUGUAUAUUAUUAAGGCUACUAGUUAGGGCUUUGUCAAAUGGACUAGUUAUUCGGUUGGACGACGAGCAAAGCUUUGACCUCAAAAUAUCAUCAACACUGUGAUCUCAAGACUCAUGUUCAUCAUCAUCAUGGAGACAUGCAUGGACAUGGACUCAAGGUCCAUGUUUCUCAUUUUGUUUGA